UAUCCGUGGUGGGGACACUGAUUGAACAAAUCUUUGAACCUUUCCCAUUAUUGGUAAAGAGUUUCAUGUUCUUUUUGAGUAAAGGAAAUUUGUCUUUUAAGGUA